CCUACUUUUUACUGGUAACGUGAAUCCUGGUUGAUUCUCUGAUUGUAUCUUCUUGCAGUUUCAUGCUGUUGCAGAAAAACCAUGACCUAUAAACUCUCAUCCUUUAGGGUCUCCUGAGAAUUAUUUGCUUCAUUGGCUGUCAAAUUAGAGAGAUUUUAGCUAUGUUUUGCAUCACUAUUUUGCCUGCUUCAGGGCUUGAGGGCCUAUCCUUGCAAAACCUAUUGGUGAGCCCCAAUGAUGGCCCUGCCCUGCACGUCUUUUGAAUGGGUCCUCAUAUUGGUCUUAAAACCUGUUUUCAGUGUGUCAGGGGAAAAUACCCUUUUUAACUUUCCACAGUUCCCUCUUGCUGUGUUCAAACUGAGCUGAGGUUUUUGUACGGGGGUGUGCAUCAUCUGUAUCACUGUGAUAUUCGGCCAAGGCACUAAACUGAUUGUCACUGACUCUUCUCUUGCUGCGCCUACACUCUCUCUCCUGCCUCCGUCCAGCGAGGAGCUGAAGACAGGCAAAGCCACGCUGGUGUGCCUGGCGCAGAUGUCUGUUGGCUUCGCAGAUGUCAGCUGGACAUCGGGG